rnacentral:sRNA from 1 species
AAGGGGAACGUAGCUGGUAGUAAAUUUGUGACGUACUACGAACAAACAAAAAAUAUUAUAGUCAAAAAAAAUUAAAUCAAAACUUUUAACAAUGGAUCUCUUGGUUCUCGUAUCGAUGAAGAACGCAGCGAAACGCGAUAUUUCUUGUGAAUUGCAGAAGUGAAUCAUCAGUUUUUGAACGCACAUUGCACUUUGGGGUAUCCCCCAAAGUAUACUUGUUUGAGCGUUGUUUCUCUCUUGGAAUUGCAUUUGCUUUUCUAAAAAAUCGAAUCAAAUUCGUUUGAAACUUCAUUUAUUUCAACCUCAGAUCAAGUAGGAUUACCCGCUGAACUUAAGCAUAUCAAUAGGCGGAGGAACCUCAAGCCCGGCUGGGGUGUCGGCACGCCGGCCCCCUCUCCGGGGGGACGGGCCCGAAAGGCAGCGGCGGCACCGCGUCCGAUCCUCGAGCGUAUGGGGCUUUGUCACAUGCGCUGUAGGAUUGGCCGGCGCCUGCCGACGCUUUCCAACCAUUCUUUCCAGGUUGACCUCGGAUCAGGUAGGGAUACCCGCAUGAACUUAAGCAUAUCAAUAAGCCGGAGGAAAGAACAA